CCUACGGGAGGCAGCAGUGAGGAAUAUUGGUCAAUGGACGAGAGUCUGAACCAGCCAAGUAGCGUGAAGGAUGACUGCCCUAUGGGUUGUAAACUUCUUUUAUAAAGGAAUAAAACGAGGCACGUGUGCCUUUUUGCAUGUACUUUAUGAAUAAGGAUCGGCUAACUCCGUGCCAGCAGCCGCGGUAAUACGGAGGAUCCGAGCGUUAUCCGGAUUUAUUUGGUUUAAAGGGAGCGUAGAUGGGUUGUUAAGUCAGUUGUGAAAGUUUGCGGCUCAACCGUAAAAUUGCAAUUGAUACUGGCAGUCUUGAGUACAGUUGAGGUAGGCGGAAUGCGUGGUGUAGCGGUGAAAUGCUUAGAUAUCACGAAGAACCCCGAUUGCGAAGGCAGCUUACUAAACUGUGACUGACAUUGAUGCUCGAAAGUGUGGGUAUCAAACAGGAUUAGAUACCCCGGUAGUC
rnacentral:rRNA from 1 species